UCGUUGGUCUAGGGGUAUGAUUCUCGCUUUGGGUGCGAGAGGUCCCGGGUCCAAAUCCCGGACGAGCCCGGAAUUGGUCUUUUAAAAAAGGCAAUAGGUUAGUCAAACGAAAUAUUUCUAUACGAAAACGUUACUUCCAAAUUUAUUCAACUAACGUAGGGUCUAGAGAUGCGCUUGUCGAAUUCUCUCGCCCAGCUAUUUGCAAUUAUGUCCCGUUGAAAUGUAACUUUCACCCUUUUGUCGGCUCGUUGGUCUAGGGGUAUGAUUCUCGCUUAGGGUGCGAGAGGUCCCGGGUCCAAAUCCCGGACGAGCCCGGAAGUGCUCUUUUGAAACAGUCAAUGGCUGUGAUUAGUCAAACGAAAUAUGUCGGAAUGAAAAUGUUACAUCCAAAUUUAUACAAUUCAGGUAGAGUCUAGAUAUGCGCUUUUCAAAUUCUCUCGCCUAGCUAUUUGCGAUUAUGUCCUGUUUUCAUGUAACUUUGACCCUUUUGUCGGCUCGUUGGUCUAGGGGUAUGAUUCUCGCUUCGGGUGCGAGAGGUCCCGGGUUCAAAUCCCGGACGAGCCCGAUGGAACUUGUUUGAUGCUGUUAGCGGUUGUAAUUUGUAAAUGAUGACAAAAAAGUUACUCCCCAAUUUGGUCAGUGAACGACCAUAUUGCUAGUAUGUUUCCAAAAAAUAGGCAAACACAACAAACUAGUGAAAAAAAACAAGCAAUUUGUUGACCACGGAUACGCUGAUUCAAUUCUCUUGCCUGGCCAAAUAGGAUUUUGUCCCAUGGACAUAGCAUUAAUAGUUUUUGUCGGCUCGUUGGUCUAGGGGUAUGAUUCUCGCUUUGGGUGCGAGAGGUCCCGGGUCCAAAUCCCGGACGAGCCCGGGAUAGGUCUUUUGAAAGUCAAUAGAUGUGAUAAGUAAAAUGAAAUAUGUCUAUACGAAAAUGUAACUUCCAAAUUUUUUCAACUAACGUAGAGUCUAGAGAUGCUCUUGUCGAUAUCUCUCGCCCAGCUAUUUGCAAUUAUUUCCCGUUGUCAUGUAACUUUCACCCUUUUGUCGGCUCGUUGGUCUAGGGGUAUGAUUCUCGCUUUGGGUGCGAGCGGUCCCGGGUCCAAAUCCCGGACGAGCCCGGAAUUGGUCUUUUGAAACAGUCAAUAGAUGUGAUUAGUAAAAUGAAAUAUGUCUAUACGAAAAUGUCACUUCCAAAUUUAUUCAACUAACGUAGAGUCUAGAGAUGCGCUUGUCGAAUUCUCUCGCCCAGCUAUUUGCAAUUAUGUCCCGUUGAAAUGUAACUUUCACCCAUUUGUCGGCUCGUUGGUCUAGGGGUAUGAUUCUCGCUUUGGGUGCGAGAGGUCCCGGGUCCAAAUCCCGGACGAGCCCGGAAGUGCUCUUUUGAAACAGUCAAUGGCUGUGAUUAGUCAAACAAAAUAUGUCGGAAUGAAAAUGUUACAUCCAAAUUUAUUCAAUUAACGUAGAGUCUAGAGAUGCUCUUGUCGAUAUCUCUCGCCCAGCUAUUUGCAAUUAUUUCCCGUUGACAUGUAACUUUCACCCUUUUGUCGGCUCGUUGGUCUAGGGGUAUGAUUCUCGCUUAGGG
ensembl:lncRNA